ensembl:lncRNA
GUGUGGUGCCCUGCCUGUCAGAUAGGGAGAGGAGCUGGAGGAGGAGAUGUCUGCAGUCAGAGCCAUCGCUUUGUGAUAUUGCAUUCCCCGGACAAGAGCACCUGUGAGGAGAGAGCUGCAUAGGCUCUGGGAGGUGGGAACGUUUUACAAAAGCAUCACAAACAUCUGCUGAGAGGUACCUGUGGAUGUGACAACGAGAGAGGAGGAGGAGGAGGUGCAGGGGGGAGGGAGAAGGGGUCUUCAGAAGAGGCUGGAGCCCCCAUCCUCAUGGAGGUGAUGGGAAAGGCUCGAUGGCACUGUGGGGGCCACCAACCCUGCCAGGCUCGGGAGGGAGCCUCUGGAGAGGCAAUCUCAGGGCUUUGGUAUAUGACAGGAGUGAGGAGUGAGCCAGAUUUGCUUGAAAUACUUCAUUUUAAUUGCAGAAGGCUGCCUGCCGUCUCCCUGCCUGCUUGCUGGGAAGCGUUUCCACCUCAGCCAUGCAACUUUAGGGCUGCUGGGAGGCGUUAGGGCUGGGCAGGAAUAAGUCCUUGAUGCAGGUGUCUCCCUGUGAGCAGUCCUCAAGAUUUCAGCCUUGGGCUGCCCUGUGCCCUGCUGGGGAGGCUCCUUGGGCCACCCAGCCUCACUGCUUUGAUGCAUUUUUGGAAGUUGUUCAUGUUUUGCUCAAAACCUUGGGGACAGCUCGGUGGUCAUGGAUGGGUUUUCUAACCCACGUUUUGUGGGGAGAGAGGUACCCUUGAAGAUGAGCUGAUGCUUAUGGUCAAACCACCCAGGGCAGGCAACAAGGAUAAAACAGACAUGAUUUUGAACCUAUUUCCCUGCUCUUUUGGCUGCUUGGUGUUGACAGCACUGAAACGGAGCAUGGAUUUCCCACCAGGACCUGCAAUUCCAGUGAUUUUCCCAAAUCCCUCAGUCUCCAGAAGCCAUUAAACAAAAUCGCUGCCUUCCCUGUGACCUCCCAUUGCAGUUCACAAUCUGAUGCUCUGCACUGCUGUAAAUCCCAGCCCCUGGGACACCUCCCAGACCCGGGUGUCUGCUGAGCACCUCGCAAACCACCCGUGGGCUCGGCUGCAUCUGGUCCCGCGGUGCUUCAGCCUCGCAGGUUCCCUGGCAGGAGGUGACUGGCACAGGGAAAUUGUUCCUCUGGUAGUCUGUCUUUCCUUCUCUUUUCAUAUAAAGAAUGCAUGGGGAGGGUGUGAUGCAGGUGUUUCACCCCACAACGUGGGUCUGGAAGAGCUGGCAGAAACCGUGGAUGUAUCCAGCCCUUCACACGAUGAGGAGAAUUCAGUCCUGUUGGAAAACGUGACGCCUGCCCCAGAGGAUCUCGCACCGCGACGGGCCCAGUACAGGAACAACCGGCACUUCAGCUCUGCUGGAACGAAGCGGCAUGGAGAUGGCGGGGGUGUAAAUCAGCCCCUUCCUCGCCUCGCUGCAGCCAUCCGCCCUCGGUUUUGCAGUGUGCUGUGCCCUGGGCUCGCCCCUCGCUGGGGUUUGGUCCCAGCAGCCCACCAGGCUGCAGCCCUCGCUGUGCUGGCACCCGUUGUGGUGCUGUUGGAAAUGGCAGCGCAUCGCUGCUCACCGGGCACCCGUCAGGCAAAAGCACCAAGGAUAAAAAGGCAGAGACACGGGAAAACGGGACCAGCAUGUAAGAGAGAUGAGCGUGCAGCUGUAUUGCCCGUGAAGCCCUGCACCUGCGGAGGGCUGGAGCUGCCCUGCUCGCUGUUGCCAGCCUGGCCCCGCGCUGUGUGUUCGCCUUCUGGAUGUCCCUGCGUGGCCGUGCCAUGCGGGAAGGGCACAGGAGCAGGGUGGGACGGUGGCUGCCGUCCCCUCCCUGCAAGCGUUGAGCAUGGUAAGGCUCUGCCAUGACUGUAAGGAGAUUUCAUCUCUUUGUGGGGCGGUGGAGGUGGUGGCAGAAGGGCUCAAUGCACAUCCAGGGCCUCUCUGAAAGCUGAGAGGAGAGCGGGGCAGAAGGGGAGACAUCCGAGCUCGACAGAGGGACAGCAGAUGGAUUGGAAGGAGCGUAACCUCGUGGAAAUGCAUGCUCUGGUCCCUGCAGCUGGCAUUAUGGGCCAAUUAUUCUCAGUGCAACAAUGCGUUUCUCACUGGAAAGCAAUGCGUUCCCAUUCCACACAACGGGCAUCAGGGCCUGGGAUGGGGCUCAGAGCCCAGGAGGGGUCAGAGCCAGCGUGGCCACCAUCACGUGCAGCAGCUCCUGGUUCAGACCCAGCAGGCACCCCUGGAACAGGAGCACAGCACCUCGGGAAGGGGCUCAGCACGCCGGGAUGAGUUAUCCCCCCCCAGCUGGCCUGUGCCAUCCACGUCUGGGUGUAAGUGACAUCCCCACCAUGCCAGGUCCUUGACCCGGGAGGAAUUGCUCAGCCACGCUGGCCACCUGACUGCUGGGGCAACCUGCUGCGGAGAGAGGCUUCGGCACAGCCCGGUGCCAGGGUGAAGGGGCUGCUUUGAUCAGCCUCUCGGGGGGGGCACAUGAUCCCUGGGAGAGUCGCAUGAUCCCUNGGGGGGGGGGGGGGGGGCACACGAUCCACCCACCCUGGGGCUUGAAGAGGUGGGAACUUCUGGGUGAGGGUGCUGGAGGAUGUCCUCUCCCUGGGCUGUGGUCACUGCUGGGUCUGCACUGAGACCCACGCAAACUUACACGUCCCACUGGAGCCUGUCCCUCUUUGGGGGAGUGUGGUGGUGGUUUGGGUGGGCACCCCAACUAACCUAGGGGUCUGCAACCACCCAGGGUGACAGGGAGAGGACCCACGGAGGGAGAAAGGGGACAAUGGGGAAGGGAGAAGAGCCCCCAAAAGGAACGGGGAGAAAACAGCCAGAGCAGGUGGCAGAGGAAAGGGAGAGAAGCAGG